rnacentral:rRNA from 1 species
UGGGGAAUAUUGCACAAUGGAGGGAACUCUGAUGCAGCGACGCCGCGUGAGUGAUGAAGGAAUUCGUUUCGUAAAACUCUGUUCUAUGGGAAGAAAAGGACUGUACCAUAGGAGAAAGCUCCGGCUAAAUACGUGCCAGCAGCCGCGGUAAUACGUAUGGAGCGAGCGUUGUUCGGAAUUAUUGGGCGUAAAGGGUGCGCAGGCGGCUUUACAAGUUGGAUGUGAAAUAUUGUGGCUCAACCACAAACGUGCAUCCAAAACUGCAAAGCUUGAGUGAAGGAGAGGUAAGUGGAAUUCCUGGUGUAGCGGUGGAAUGCGUAGAUAUCAGGAGGAAUACCGGUGGCGAAGGCGACUUACUGGACUUAAACAGACGCUCAGGCACGAAAGCGUGGGGAGCAAACAGG